GAUGAAGAACGUAGCGAAAUGCGAUAAGUAAUGUGAAUUGCAGAAUUCAGUGAAUCAUCGAAUCUUUGAACGCAUCUUGCGCUCCUUGGGAUUCUGAGGAGCAUGCCUGUUUGAGUGUCAUUAAAUUCUCAACUACACUGACUUUGAAUUGGUGUGGCUUGGAUUUGGGGGGAAAAUUGUUGUGGGCUUUUUGUAUAGUCUGCUCCCCUGAAAUUGAUUAGCGGUACCUUUGUGGAACUGUCUACAGGUGUGAUAAUUAUCUACAUCUUAGACAUCUGCUGGAAUGCUGCUUUCUAAACCUUACUUGUAUUGACAAUCUUGACCUCAAAUCAGGUAGGACUACCCGCUGAACUUAAGCAUAUCAAUAAGCGGAGGA
rnacentral:misc_RNA from 1 species